rnacentral:rRNA from 1 species
GAUGAACGCUAGUGGGAGGCCUAAUUCAUGCAAGUCGAACGGUAACAGGGUAGCAAUACCGCUGACGAGUGGCGCACGGGUGAGUAACACGUACACAACCUGCCUUAUACUGGGGGAUAGCCCUGGGAAACUAGGAUUAAUACCCCAUAAUAUAUUGAAAAGGCAUCUUUUUAAUAUUAAAACUCCGGUGGUAUAAGAUGGGUGUGCGUCUGAUUAGCUAGUUGGCGAGGUAACGGCUCACCAAGGCAACGAUCAGUAACUGGUCUGAGAGGAUGAUCAGUCACAAGGGCACUGAGACACGGGCCCGACUCCUACGGGAGGCAGCAGUAGGGAAUAUUGGACAAUGGGCGCAAGCCUGAUCCAGCCAUCCCGCGUGAAGGAUUAAGGCCCUCUGGGUUGUAAACUUCUUUUUUUGGGAAUAAAAACCGGAAUUCAUUUCGGCUUGAAGGUACCAGAAGAAUAAGCACCGGCUAACUCCGUGCCAGCCGCCGCCGUAACAC